GGAACUUGUACUCGUUGCGGUGCAACGAUAUAUAAAGA
rfam:Acetohalobium arabaticum DSM 5501, complete genome.